rnacentral:rRNA from 1 species
AGUGAACGCUGGCGGCAGGCCUAACACAUGCAAGUCGAACGGCAGCACAGUAAGAGCUUGCUCUUACGGGUGGCGAGUGGCGGACGGGUGAGGAAUACAUCGGAAUCUACUUUUUCGUGGGGGAUAACGUAGGGAAACUUACGCUAAUACCGCAUACGACCUACGGGUGAAAGCAGGGGAUCUUCGGACCUUGCGCGAUUGAAUGAGCCGAUGUCGGAUUAGCUAGUUGGCGGGGUAAAGGCCCACCAAGGCGACGAUCCGUAGCUGGUCUGAGAGGAUGAUCAGCCACACUGGAACUGAGACACGGUCCAGACUCCUACGGGAGGCAGCAGUGGGGAAUAUUGGACAAUGGGCGCAAGCCUGAUCCAGCCAUACCGCGUGGGUGAAGAAGGCCUUCGGGUUGUAAAGCCCUUUUGUUGGGAAAGAAAAGCAGCAGGUUAAUACCCCGCUGUUCUGACGGUACCCAAAGAAUAAACACCGGCUAACUUCGUG